AUCAUCAUCAUCAAAGUUGUUAAAAUUAGGAUUCUAAUUAGAAUCGUAGUGAAGGGUAGAAUCGAAUCGUAGGAUCGUAAGAUUCUACAAUAAACCUAAAUUUGCUAUUUAGUCAUAAUAUUUUCAUCUCAAAAGUUUAAGUUUAUGAAUUAAAGAUUAAUUCAAUUCGUUUUUAAGAAUAAAAUGGAAAACAAUUAAUAAUUAUUUUGAAUCUUCAUACAGAUGAAGAAAUUUAUUUUUUAAAUAUUAUGAUGUCGGAUCGCUGAACCAAAAGAAAAAUUAAUGAAAGAUGAUACAUAAGAAAAAUUAAUAAAAAUUAAGCAUAAAUUUGUAGAUUCGGAUCGCUAAAUCGUAGAAUCGUGUUAUGAUUCUACCUCUACAAAUACUAUUGUAAUUAGAAUCGUAAGAUUCUACCAACUUUCGAUUCUACCUACAAUUCAAAUCGUUCACUUGUUUUUGGAUCGUAAAAUCGUAGAAUCGUAGGUUAGAAUCGUGAUUUUAAUAACCAAUGAUCAUCAUCAUCAUACCCAAUGUCCCGCUCGGAAGCAGGGUCUGAGUGAGGAAAGGUGACGGACAAUCCAUACUCGUACUCCCUUCAUAGGGAGUGCUAGAGGAAAGCGGUUGGUAUUACCCCAAAAAUGUAGAUGUUAAGUUUAAGAUAUCUAUUCAAAUAGAUUGAAUAAAAGGUUGAAUGAUAGAUAUUUAACAAAGUUGAUGCUUGCAAACGUCUUUUAAAUUUCUUAAAGAAAUCUCCAUGCAUGUUCCAACCUACCUGGAGAACCUGCAAAUUGAAUAAUGCUAGUAGAUGGAACUUGGAAGUGCCUUUGAUGCAGAUGAAAGAUAAGUAGCUACUUGUUUUUACUUCAUAUUGCUGCACAAUCUUCUUUAAAGAUUUGAACAUACAUGGGCUAAAACGUAGUAGUUUUCAGUAAAUUCCGUUAUGUCUGAUACUACUAGUAGAUGGAUCUUUGAGCUUACCACGACCCAUAUAUAGGCCGAGAAAACUGCAAAAUUAUACGGAAUUGGAUAUUGACUGCGAAAGCCAUUUCGCAAAUGUUACACAAAACUGCAUUUUUAUAUGCCACAUAGAUACUCUCUCCUUCCAAAGGAAAAUUAGAAAUGGAAUGAAAAGAAAAGACCAAUAGAGAAGGAUAAACUGAACAAAACAGUAAUGAUACUAGAAAUAGAUUCACUUUCUUUGGCUACGAUCAAACCUUCGUGUUGUUUUGAAUCAUCUCAUUGUAAAGUUAUCUAUAAUGUUCAUGACCACCUUCCAAGCAUUGAACACUAAUGUUAUUUAUGCGCUCUUUUUUUUUAUUAACUGAGAUGUGGUGAAGGCAGUGGACUGUUGGGAAAAUUCGAAUCUCAUAAUGUAUAGAUGCAGCAGCUUCUUGAACUCGAGCUCAAAUAGAGGUCUGAUUUUCGUGGGAGGAAAAUGUGGAGCUACAUAGAAGAUUUGAGGAACAUUUACUUCUCUAGAGAGUGAAAUCUGGGGGUAGAAAACCAUUGGCGAUGUAGGCCAAGGUUGCGGAUCUUAAUCUGAUGGUGGAUUCUCUUGAUCUUCUUGUUCAUUUCAUUGAUUCCUUGCACUCGAAUCCGAAAAAAUAGAAGUUACGGAGUUGCAAACCUUUGCCUGGUGGAAUACGAGCAAGAUUCAGUUGUAGUGUGAGUUGAUAUCCUUGUCUUGGUUGGUGAAGUAUGUCGACAACAUCAGGGCUUAUAUCUUUAACCUUUUGUAU